rfam:Flavobacterium frigoris PS1 66_18, whole genome shotgun sequence.
GUCUAGCCCCGAUGGGAGCAUGUAUCCUUUUUGUGCUGGGGUUCAGCACAAAAGAUACUGUGGAAAGCGGGAGGGAAG